GGCUCGUUGGUCUAGGGGUAUGAUUCUCGCUUUGGGUGCGAGAGGUCUCGGCUUCAAAUCCCGGACGAGCUC
rnacentral:tRNA from 1 species